rnacentral:rRNA from 1 species
CAGGUCUGUGAUGCCCUUAGACGUUCUGGGCCGCACGCGCGCUACACUGACGGAGCCAGCAAGUACAACCUUGGUCGAGAGGCCCGGGUAAUCUCGUGAAACUCCGUCGUGCUGGGGAUAGAGCAUUGUAAUUUUUGCUCUUCAACGAGGAAUUCCUAGUAAGCGCAAGUCAUCAGCUUGCGUUGAUUACGUCC